rnacentral:rRNA from 1 species
AGAGUUUGAUCCUGGCUCAGAGUGAACGCUGGCGGCAGGCCUAAUACAUGCAAGUCGAACGGCAGCACAGCAGAGCUUGCUCUGUGGGUGGCGAGUGGCGGACGGGUGAGGAAUACGUGGGAAUCUGCCCAGUCGUGGGGAUAACGUAGGGAAACUUACGCUAAUACCGCAUGCGCCCUUCGGGGGAAAGCCGGGGACCUUCGGGCCUGGCGCGAUUGGAUGAGCCCACGUCGGAUUAGCUAGUUGGCGGGUAAAGGCCCACCAAGGCGACGAUCCGUAGCUGGUCUGAGAGGAUGAUCAGCCACACUGGAACUGAGACACGGUCCAGACUCCUACGGGAGGCAGCAGUAGGAAAUAUUGGACAAUGGGCGCAAGCCUGAUCCAGCCAUGCCGCGUGAGUGAAGAAGGCCCUCGGGUUGUAAAGCUCUUUUGUCCGGAAAGAAAAGCGCCGGGUUAAUACCCUGGUGUCCUGACGGUACCGGAAGAAUAAGCACCGGCUAACUUCGUG